GCGCACGCAGGCGGUCUGUUAAGUCAGAUGUGAAUCCCCGGGCUUAACUGGGAACUGCAUUUGAAACUGGCAGGCUUGAGUCUCGUAGAGGGGGGUAGAUUCCAGGUGUAGCGGUGAAUGCGUAGAGAUCUGGAGGAAUACCGGUGGCGAAGGCGGCCCCUGGACGAAGACUGACGCUCAGGUGCGAAAGCGUGGGGAGCAAACAGGAUUAGAUACCUGGUAGUCCACGCCGUAAACGAUGUCGACUUGGAGGCUGUUUCCUUGAGAAGUGGCUUCCGGAGCUAACGCGUUAAGUCGACCGCCUGGGGAGUACGGCCGCAAGGUUAAACUCAAAUGAAUUGACGGGGGCCCGCACAAGCGGUGGAGCA
rnacentral:rRNA from 1 species